rnacentral:lncRNA from 1 species
AGGAGUAUUUUGUUAGACUAAUACUCCAGUAUUUCUGAUAAGAUGUAAAGACAAAUACUCCAGUUGAGAGAAAUAAUAUCUUCAAUAAGGGGUUUGGGGUUACAUCAUUCAUCAACCAUCAUUUGCUCUCUCUCUCUCUCUCUCUCUCUCAUCAUUACAAGGGCUAAGAAGAAGAAGAAACGAAGAAUUUGUACUGAACAAAUGUGCCAGUACAAAUCUCUCUGUUCACUUGUACAUGGUCAUUACAAUAUCUUCAAUCAACCAAGAUACUAUAGACAAAUGCUCCAACAUCCAGCAUAUGGCAUACUCCAACAAAUACUCCAAGAUACUCCAAGUCAAGCAUCUAGGAGUAACAAGCAUCUGGAAAUUCUUUCAGGAUCAAGCAGCUAGGCUUAGCAAAUGUGUUGCUUUCUCCAGGUCCCUAUAGAUUCACAACAAAUUCAGAAGUUAACAACAAUGUUACUGUAUUUUAUCCGAAUUGUACAUAUUAAUGACACCAAAUUCAGAAAUUGACAGCAAAUGGCACUUUAAGAAAUUGACAACAAAUUCCAUAACAAUAAGUUAAAACUGACAAGCCACUCGGCUAUUGGAUGUGAAAUCUCUCUUCAGAUAUGGUUAUCACUUGAUUUUGCAUAAUCCAAAGAAAAUAAAUUAAGUUUAUUAUCUGUUCAUUAAACCAGUCUGUUAAGGAGCAACCUAAAACAUUUUCUGGGUUGUUGUCACACAUCAGAACUAAACCCAAACUGUGGCAUUUCAGUUUUCACACAAGAGUGGCUUGGGUAAAUUGCUAAUCCUAAUUAACAAGUGUGGCUGGCGAGCAAGCUAUGCACGGCAGGCGAAUCUUGGGCAAAAGCGCGAGCAGCUGCUGGGCGGUUUCUAGAUCCACGGGGAAAGGGAGAGAUCCCUAGCUGCCAUGGCCGAUGCAGGCAACAAGGAGCAGGGGAUUCUGUACUGCACAAGUAGCAGAGAUCGGCGAAGGAGAAAAGGAGGAGGAGGUGCUACCUGCUCUGCUUGCUUCUGGGCGGGCGACGGAGUUUGCAGAUGCUCGGAACGGCGGCGGUGGCGUGGGGGAAGGAACUGGACGGGAAGACGGGAAGGAAAGAUGCAAUGGGGAAGGGGAAGGGCAGGAGGCGUCCAGGUCACAGCCGAUGCCGUCGUCCACAUGGGCUCGCUCAUCACCGCCGUCGUCCACAUGGCCUCCAGGACAUGAGCGCUGCCACCGUAGCCGGCAAAUAGAGCGCUUUGCAGAGAAGGGGAUCCCCCUUUCCUCUUGAACUCCCCUCCCCUCCCCCCCUGUCGGGAUCAGGAAACGCCGACGAAGAAAGGCGGCGAGAUGAGGGGAAGAAGGCAGCCGGGCGCGCGGCGAGGCGACGGAGAAGGAGGCCGCGGGAGAGGACGUCACCACGGCCGUCGCAAGAUCUAGGGGGAGCGGUGCGGGCUGCGUCGUCUGUCGGAUUAAAC